rnacentral:rRNA from 1 species
UACGUAGGGUGCGAGCGUUGUCCGGAAUUAUUGGGCGUAAAGAGCUCGUAGGCGGCUUGUCGCGUCGGCUGUGAAAACCUGGGGCUCAACCCCGGGCCUGCAGCCGAUACGGGCAAGCUAGAAUUCGGUAGGGGAGACUGGAAUUCCUGGUGUAGCGGUGAAAUGCGUAGAUAUCGGAAGGAACACCAGUGGCGAAAGCGGCUUCCUGGUCCAGCACCGACGUUCAGGCACGAAAGCGUGGGGAGCAAACAGG